rnacentral:rRNA from 1 species
CUACGGGCCGCUCCAGUGGGGAAUAUUGGACAAUGGGGGAAACCCUGAUCCAGCAAUGCCGCGUGUGUGAAGAAGGCCUGCGGGUUGUAAAGCACUUUCGGUUGGGAGGACUGCCUCUAGCACUAAUAUUGUUGGAAGUUGACGUUACCUUCAGAAGAAGCACCGGCUAACUCCGUGCCAGCAGCCGCGGUAAUACGGAGGGUGCAAGCGUUAAUCGGAAUUACUGGGCGUAAAGCGCGCGUAGGCGGCUAGAUCAGUCGGGUGUGAAAGCCCCGGGCUUAACCUGGGAACUGCAUCCGAUACUGUCUAGCUUGAGUACAGGAGAGGAGAGUGGAAUUCCACAUGUAGCGGUGAAAUGCGUAGAUAUGUGGAGGAACACCAAUGGCGAAGGCAGCUCUCUGGCCUGAUACUGACGCUGAGGUGCGAAAGUGUGGGGAGCAAACAGGAUUAGAUACCCUUGUAGUC